CGGACGGGUGAGUAAUGUCUGGGAAACUGCCCGAUGGAGGGGGAUAACUGCUGGAAACGGUAGCUAAUACCGCAUAACGUCGCAAGACCAAAGAGGGGGACCUUAGGGCCUCUUGCCAUCGGAUGUGCCCAGAUGGGAUUAGCUAGUAGGUGGGGUAAUGGCUCACCUAGGCGACGAUCCCUAGCUGGUCUGAGAGGAUGACCAGCCACACUGGAACUGAGACACGGUCCAG
rnacentral:rRNA from 1 species